AAUACUUAGGAAUCUGCCUAUUAAUGGGGGACAACAUCUCGAAAGGGAUGCUAAUACCGCAUACGCCCUACGGGGGAAAGCAGGGGAUCACUUGUGACCUUGCGUUAAUAGAUGAGCCUAAGUCGGAUUAGCUAGUUGGUGGGGUAAAGGCCUACCAAGGCGACGAUCUGUAGCGGGUCUGAGAGGAUGAUCCGCCACACUGGGACUGAGACACGGCCCAGACUCCUACGGGAGGCAGCAGUGGGGAAUAUUGGACAAUGGGGGGAACCCUGAUCCAGCCAUGCCGCGUGUGUGAAGAAGGCCUUAUGGUUGUAAAGCACUUUAAGCGAGGAGGAGGCUCUCUUGGUUAAUACCCAAGAUGAGUGGACGUUACUCGCAGAAUAAGCACCGGCUAACUCUGUGCCAGCAGCCGCGGUAAUACAGAGGGUGCGAGCGUUAAUCGGAUUUACUGGGCGUAAAGCGUGCGUAGGCGGCUUUUUAAGUCGGAUGUGAAAUCCCCGAGCUUAACUUGGGAAUUGCAUUCGAUACUGGGAAGCUAGAGUAUGGGAGAGGAUGGUAGAAUUCCAGGUGUAGCGGUGAAAUGCGUAGAGAUCUGGAGGAAUACCGAUGGCGAAGGCAGCCAUCUGGCCUAAUACUGACGCUGAGGUACGAAAGCAUGGGGAGCAAACAGGAUUAGAUACCCUGGUAGUCCAUGCCGUAAACGAUGUCUACUAGCCGUUGGGGCCUUUGAGGCUUUAGUGGCGCAGCUAACGCGAUAAGUAGACCGCCUGG
rnacentral:rRNA from 1 species